rnacentral:lncRNA from 10 species
CCGCCACCGCCGCGCGAGCGUACUAUUGCGGCCGCCCUCUGCUGCGCCUGAAGAGAGAGGCGACUCUACAAGCCUCACAGCAUGCACUGUUACUAAAAAGACGAUGCGUCCUCCUGGACCUGAGAUCUGUGUGAUCGUGGGAAAGCGACGAAAAACGAACAAAGGAACAGUAAAUGGAGUAACUUGGCUAGAAUAUGGCAGUAACUACAAGGCAUGUUCUGCUCUGGCACGAAGGAAAGGCUAUAUGAAGACAGAGCAAGAAGGUAGUUAUCUACAAG